GUGGGGAAUAUUCCGCAAUGGACGAAAGUCUGACGGAGCAACGCCGCGUGAGUGAUGAAGGUUUUCGGACUGUAAAGCUCUGUUGUUUAGGACGAAAGUGCCUGUUGCAAAUAGUUACAGGUAUUGACGGUACUGAACGAGGAAGCCACGGCUAACUACGUGCCAGCAGCCGCGGUAAUACGUAGGUGGCAAGCGUUGUCCGGAAUUAUUGGGCGUAAAGAGCAUGUAGGCGGGAAUCUAAGUCUGUUGUUAAAAUGCGGGGGUCAACCCCGUAUUGCGAUGGAAACUGGGUUUCUUGAGUGCAGGAGAGUAAAGGGGAAUUCCCAGUGUAGCGGUGAAAUGCGUAGAUAUUGGGAGGAACACCAGUGGCGAAGGCGCCUUUCUGGACUGUGUCUGACGCUGAGAUGCGAAAGCCAGGGUAGCGAACGGGAUUAGAUACCCGGGUAGUCC
rnacentral:rRNA from 1 species